AGUGAACGCUGGCGGCGUGCCUAAUACAUGCAAGUCGAACGGAGUGGCGCACGGGUGAGUAAUAUAUCGCUAAUCUGCCCCUUGCUGGAGGACAACAGUUAGAACUGACUGCUAAUACUCCAUAGCAAGGGAUGGGACUAUAUCGUAUUAGCUAGUCGGUGGGGUAACGGCCUACCGAGGCUCUGACGCGUAACUGGUCUGAGAGGAUGAUCAGUAACAUUGGAAGUGAGACAAGGUCAAAACUCCUACGGGAGGCAGCAGUAAGGAAUAAUGCGCAAUGGGGGAAUCCCUGACGCAGCAACGCCGCGUGGAGGAGGACACUUUUCGGAGCGUAAACUACUUUUUUUAAGGAAGCGGUACCUAACGAAUAAGCACCGGCUAACUCCGUGCCAGCAGCCGCGGUAAUAC
rnacentral:rRNA from 1 species